CCUACGGGAGGCUGCAGUGGGGAAUAUUGGACAAUGGGGGGAACCCUGAUCCAGCCAUGCCGCGUGUGUGAAGAAGGCCCUCGGGUUGUAAAGCACUUUCAGUGAGGAAGAACGCCUGGUGGUUAAUACCCAUCAGGAAAGACAUCACUCACGGAAGAAGCACCGGCUAACUCCGUGCCAGCAGCCGCGGUAAUACGGAGGGUGCGAGCGUUAAUCGGAAUUACUGGGCGUAAAGCGCGCGUAGGUGGCUUGAUAAGCCGGUUGUGAAAGCCCCGGGCUCAACCUGGGAACGGCAUCCGGAACUGUCAAGCUAGAGUGCAGGAGAGGAAGGUAGAAUUCCCGGUGUAGCGGUGAAAUGCGUAGAGAUCGGGAGGAAUACCAGUGGCGAAGGCGGCCUUCUGGACUGACACUGACACUGAGGUGCGAAAGCGUGGGUAGCAAACAGGAUUAGAUACCCUAGUAGUC
rnacentral:rRNA from 1 species